UUCCUGAAUAUAUCACAUGUGGUGAUAAACAUGAAGAUGUAUGAAAAAUUGUGUUCGUUGAGAGAAAAUGGAAGGCUUUUCAUUCUACUUCCACAUUUUCAUUCCAGCAGCUUUUCUGUUUUGGAAGAUGAGUACUGAAUCUUGCAAUGAAAUUUUUUUAACUUAAACAAGACAAGGAAAAUGAAGCGCAGAGACGUUAAAUAACUCUCUCAAGGUCAUGCAGCUGAGAAGAGAUGAGACUUGAACUCCAGUGCCAGCCCUGUUAAUCACUAUUCUGUACUGUCUUUCAGAUGGAAUGAUAGGGUAUGCAUAAAUGUUCAUGUGGGCUCUGGAGUAUACCAGGAACUGAAGUAAGGUACAUGGACGUCUUGAAUAUUGUAACUGAGAUGGGCAAGCCUACACCUUUGCAAAUAAAGGAGGAUUGGGAAAGAUUAAGAUCCUGUUAAACGUCAGUGUUACUAUUUAGCCUUUGAUAUCUCCAGUAAAGGCAACUUCUUUCUGGACCCAGAAAUAAAGCUUUACAUUAGCAGCUUCCAUAACACCAAUAACAUGAAUGACCAUCUACUGAGCAAUUGCAGUGCACCAGGAUUAUGGCUUAUGAGCACUUUAUGUUUAUUAUCUCACAACUCACUGAGUUAGAUACUCUCCACAACCCAGUGAGCCUCUCAAGCACUGUGAAAAAUCACUUUCUCUUGUUGUAUUCUUGGAGCCCCUGCUAAUUCAUUAUUGAAAAAUACCUGCUGCCUGCAUUUGGCCUUAUGUUGUCAUUUACUUGGGUCUGUGCAUGGCGUUUAGAAGGCUACACCUUAGGCUGGGGGUCAAGAAUGUCUUCCCUGAUGUGAGGUUUACACAGAGAUCUGAAGAAUGAAGAGUCCAGCUAAGUACUUCCUAAGCGUGGCUACUCCAAUGAAGCUUUAGUAUAUGUACUGAAAGAAGAUCCUCUCAUACUGCCACAGCCAAGAGAUAAGGUUGUAAAUCUUUAUUGGGAGAAGCCGUCAAGGACAGUUCUGUGAAAUGAAAGGAUCUCUGGAUCACCACAAAGUCUGGCUCAGUGACUAUGGCUUUGCAAACACUAAACAUUCCUGUCUCAAGUCCUGUAGAUGGCUUGAAAUAGUAUACAUAAGCAUGCCUUAUAAACAUCUUCAGUCUUUAUCAACUCUUUGGAGAUUCAGCCAUUCUUUUUUGUACUUUAGGGAAUUAAAUCAUUUUAUAAUGUAUAAAUCUGAGCAUGGCCGAUGGCAGAAGAAAUUUUGUCAUACGUUUUUAAAGAAAUAAAAAUGUAUUAUGUUUUAAAA
rnacentral:lncRNA from 1 species